AUGAAUCAAGAUCAACAGGUUGAUGAUAGGAAACCGGCACACGUUGUGUUCUCGAAGUACACCAUGAUCAGAAUAGAUAAGCUUGUGCAUUCUCCUGUUCAGGUGUACAAUCCAACCAAGAGGGGCAACUCGGACGGAUCCCACGAGCGCGCCGCCGCCCCUUCCUCUUCUGAUCCUCCUCCCCUCGCCGCCGCCAAUGGAUGCCUCCGGUCUAAGGCCGUGGGGCUGACGGCAGUGGCGGGUCCUCAUCCUCCUCGCGCACUGAUGGCGGCGGGGGGCCCAUCCCCCUCGCGUUGCGGGAUCUCCGGCCGGAGCUCCAUGGUGGCCCUGGACGGCAUGGUUCUUACGACGGAGAUGGGCGACGGGGCGGCCGUCCCGGAUUUCUCCGGCGACCACAACUGCCGUUGUGGCCGCGAGGGUAGCACGGUGUCUGGUUCGGGGGGCUCAGUGCGGCUCAGCUACUCAUCUCCAUUUCUGGAUCGGAUGAGAUUCGGUCGUGUGCGCCCCGAUUUCAGCCCGAGUGGCUUCUGGAGGGUCCAAAGCCACACUCUUUAUUCGUCCUCCGUGUGGCUCUCUUAUCCUUUCUCACCACCAUCGCGGCCCUUACCACCCCGGCAAUAUCCCCAUUCUUGUUAUUGCAUGCAUGCGGUUGCUGCCCCACCUUGCAAUCCACCACAGAUACCAUACUUUCAUUGUGUCAUCGUGCAUAAAACUAAGACAUGGUUUCCAAUGUUGAACCACAAACAUGACCUCUCCGUGGCUGCUCUUGUGUCCCUAGAAGCUUUGCCACACAACCUUAACCACUUUAGAGAGGUAUAUCCUCCCUCCGCUAUGUUACCGUCACAGAAUCAUCGGUGGUUCUGCCACACUUUUUUGAAGGACGUAUCGGAAGACAUGACAUAUCAAGCGAACCGGCACGCCGCCUCGAGGUCACUUGGCAAUUUUUGGGAGCAAGCGGGGCCCGCCCGUCAGGUGCCGACGUGGCAUGUUUUUUUACAGAAAACCCCCGCCCUCGCCCUCGCCCUCGCCCUCUCGCUCCGCGCCCGCCUCGCCGCCCUCCGUCGCCGCUCGCUGCCGCCGUUGCCUCUCCUCCCCGUCCCCUUCCGGAGCGGCGCGGUGGCUGUGCGCAUGGCUUCGUCGGACGCGGGGGCGGCGCCUCAGCUCGGCUCCACCGUGGAGGUGCCCGGCGCGGCGGGGCCCGUGCGGGUCGUGGCGGCGGCGGGCCUCCCCGAGGCGGACUUCAGGAAGGCGCUGGAGUCGGCGCUGUUCAGGCGGUGGCUGGAGAGCCUGCAGGCGGAGAGGGGCCUGCUCGCCCGCGGGAAGCUCAGCCUCUGCCAGAUCCUCAUCCAGGGGGUGGACAUGUUCGGGCAGCGCGUGGGAUUCCUCAAGUUCAAAGCCGACAUCGUCGACGAGGAGACCAAGGCCAAGCGUUUGGGUGCAAAUAGGAUAGAACAGGGGAGGAGCUGGGAUAGACCAAGUCCGCCUCGGGGAGGCCCGCCGCUGCCACGACCCGCACGGCCCCGCCGCGCCGGGCACCUCCACGGUGGAGCCGAGCUGAGGCGCCGCCCCCACGUCCGACGAAGCCAUGCGCACAGCCACCGCGCCGCUCCGGAAGGGGACGGGGAGGAGAGGCAACGGCGGCGGCGAGCGGCGACGGAGGGCGGCGAGGCGGGCGCGGAGCGAGAGGGCGAGGGCGAGGGCGAGGGCGGGGGUUUUCUGCAAAAAAACAUGCCACGUCGGCACCUGACGGGCGGGCCCCGCUAG
rnacentral:rRNA from 1 species